rnacentral:rRNA from 1 species
GUCCACACCGUAAACGUUGGGCGCUAGGUGUGGGAUCCAUUCCACGGGUUCCGUGCCGCAGCUAACGCAUUAAGCGCCCCGCCUGGGGAGUACGGCCGCAAGGCUAAAACUCAAAGGAAUUGACGGGGGCCCGCACAAGCGGCGGAGCAUGCGGAUUAAUUCGAUGCAACGCGAAGAACCUUACCUGGGUUUGACAUACACCGGAAGCCCCCAGAGAUGGGGGUCUCUUUGAUACUGGUGUACAGGUGGUGCAUGGCUGUCGU